CGGCAGCAACCAAACAGAGUAAGACCACAACGUCUUCACGCUAGCAGGAAAAUGACAGAGCCAUUAAAUGCUCGACAGCAGCCAACGUCUCUCUCUACAGCACUAUAGCAGGCACGCCUCUGUCCUCCUUUCCCCUUUCGGAAUGAACCAAAACCUCAAAGAAAAGGUGUUCAGCCGGAAGGGUGAAAGGUUUUGAAGUUUUUUGAAUUUCGAAUUGGACUUUUUGAAUGGGAUUUUUAUUUCUUUCCCUCCGAAAAAAAAAAAGAAAGGGGAACCCUAGAUAAUCCCUAUAUGUAUUCCCUUUUAUUCACUGUUGAAAGGGGGGAUUUUUUUAUUUUUUUUGGAGUCGAAAUUUUGAGCGAAAAUAUAGAAAGCAACUUGAGUGGAGGUAGUUUGAUAAUACUCUAAAGGGAGGAAAUCAACUCGUUCAGGGUCUUUGCAUUUCCUUUUCUCCUCGUUGACGUUCACUACUCCGUCACGAGUUCCUUGGAACUCGAGGGAACUAUUGGGAUAUUCUUGCCCAUAUUUCUUUGCCGCUGUUUGAGUCCCGGAGUUGGUGGUAAAGUCGCGGUUCUCAUUGCUCGUCUAGUCUCAAAUCGCUGCCCGAAAAGAGGUAAACCCCUCUUCGCUAUUUGUUUUAGCUCUUAAUUUCCUCUGUGAUUUCGUUCAUGUUCUUAACAAGAGUAAUGUUGAAAUUGAAAUUUUAGAAUGAUAAUUUUGACACUUAUCUCUGCCUAAUGAAUGCUAAAUCGUUUCUUAAUGUAAAGUUAGUUGUCGAUUAAUUCUUUAUUGGUUGUGUAACGUUGUUUUUCGGUUAAGACGGGAUGUCGUCUCUAGUUACAUGCCUAGAUUUUUUUUUUGAUUUGUGUCUCUAUGUUUCAUCAUGAGUCAACUUUCUUCUCGUUUAAGUUGAAAUUUCAGAUUAUGGUGUGUUUCAAAGUUGUAUUCGUUUGAAUGUUGGUAUUCAUAGACAAUAAGUAGAGCUUCAUUUAUAUGAUGUUGGUUCAUAGGUUGAUUAUUAUUCUUCAUGUGUUUAUGGUAUGAUCCCCGGACUUUUUUUUUAAAAUCAUUUGCCCCCUCUCCCCUAAAAUUAUAAGAAGGAUGAAUUAAUGAUAAUAGCUAGUGUCUUAUUUAUAAGAUUUAAAUUUGAUCUUUUAUGGGCUGUUUUCAAUUCGAUACCGCGCCUGUUCGAACCUUGAUGCCCUUGCCUGUUUGUCUUGAUUUCGUAUAUACUUCAAAGUCUUGAGCAAUCAAUCUGUGAGAUUUUGAACUUAUCCCUUCUCUGUUUAAAAUACUAAAUCAUUUUUUUCUUCUAUUUUUAUGUCUUGUGUUCUUAAAAUAGCAUGUUCAUUUUUAGUUAUAGGAAGGACUUAAGGUUGGUAAGUUUGGAAAAUGUUUGCUGCCUGUGCUUUUGUCAUUUGUUGUUACAUAUUCUCAAUAUAGUAGCUAUAGUUAGUUGCUUCAUUUAUCUUAUUAAAUGUUUUGUGCAGUAAAUCUUUCAUAUACUAAUUUGUUCUCUUUCUUUGUUGUGAACCCAUCCGAGUCCAUAUUGGACUAAACUUCCGCAUUUCUCCGAGUUGGUUUCCUCUCGAGUCGACCCCCAUCCCUGUUCGGAUUUUGUUUUUUUAGAAGCUGAAAUACAGAGCUGAUGAACAGAUGCACAGAUUUUUUUGAAAUCUCUUAAGGGGCUGCAUACCUGCUGGUAUACACUGGUAUACAGAUUUUGUAUACAUGGUAUACACGGAAAAANNNNN
rnacentral:lncRNA from 1 species